GCCAGUCCCCACCAUUGCCAGCUGUGUGGGGCAGUCUGGGAGAGGAGCGCCUCUGCCACUGUAACAACUAGCCUUUGCUGGACUGCCUCGCCCACUCCAGCUGGGGUGCUUCACUUCUGUGAUUGCCUUUAAUGCUCCGAACAGCCCUGGGAAGUAGGGCCGAUCACCUCCAAUUCACAGCCACCAUGCCAUGAGGAAGCACAAGCAACCCGUGGAAAAGCCCAUGUGGAGGAGAACCAAGACCCCCAGCCAAAUACCCUGCUGAGCUCCCAGCUGACAGACCGCAUCAACUUGCCAGCCACAUGAGUGAGCUGUCCUGGACGCGAGUUCUGCAACCUCUGGGCAAGCCACCUCAGCUGAUGCCACGUGAAGCAGAAAUGAGCUGCCUCCACCAAGCCGUGCCCAAAUCACAGAUCUGUGGGUAAAAUAAAUGAUUGUUAUUAU
rnacentral:lncRNA from 1 species